GCCUCAUUCUCGCCGCCGCUUGAAUGCUUUUUUGUUAUGUUUAUGGAUGUUUAUGUUGAAUAUUAAUCUGAUAUGUGGAUGUCGUUUUUGUUUUGCGGAUAUAUUGGCGAUUGGUUCUCUCAUUUGAAAACUGCUCGGCAAUGGUGAACCCAAAGAUGAAGAUCUUGGAUUUGUGUACGAACCCAUAGUGAAGGAAGCAACUAGCAAACACAAGUCUGUAGCUGAAAAAGGUUAAUAAUGUGUCUCCAAAUCAUAGCCGGCCUGAAUUUUUGAGCAGGACAUCACCUAAGAGGUUGUAUGGAAAUACCCUGUGGAGUAGCCCCAAACAGUCAUUUUCUUAGGCCGACUCUCCAACAAAAGGUAUACCUUUCAGGCGGAACAUUGUAGAACGAAUACAUAUUUUCGCAUAUGCUCAACACUACAUGAGAGAACAUGACGGCUGUAAACAGACCAAAUUGAAAGUGCUAAUACUUUAAUGGGUUUUAUGGAGUUCGGAAACAUGGACAAGAUCUGAAUUAUGUAAAAAGCGCGCACCAUAUUUCGUCUCGCC